UCAAAAAGGAUAUAAAAGAUAGGUGG
rnacentral:piRNA from 1 species